CACACAGUCAGACACAUACACAAACACACACAGUCAGACACAUACACAAACACACACACACAGUCAGACACAUACACAAACACACACAGUCAGACACAUACACAGACACAGUCAGACACAAACACACACACAGUCAGACACACACAUACACAGUCAGACACAAACACACACACACAGUCAGACACACACAGUCAGACACACACAGUCAGACACAAACACACACAGACACACACAGUCACAUACACACACACAGUCAGACACAAACACACACACACAGUCAGACACAUACACAGACACAAACACAGUCAGACACAAACACACACACAGUCAGACACAUACACAGACACAAACACACACACACACUCACAAACACACACAGUCAGACACAAACACACACACACAC